ensembl:lincRNA A330102I10Rik RIKEN cDNA A330102I10 gene
GAGAUGCAGUCUGAAUGUUCACGGUGGCUUCUGACGUGGCAGCGUGAAUUCUCAGCUGGGCAGUGCUGAGGAUUGAACCCAUGGCCUCGUUGCAUGUCAGGGCUCCAGUGCAGAUUUAGAUCCACCUUCUGGAUGCUUUGGUCCCUGGAACAAGGCAGCAGGCUCUUGCUAUCAAGAACCUGUCCCUGAGAAGGUGCUGGGAACAUUAAAUCUUCAUGUCUGGAGGACAAGAAAACUAAAAGUACUCAUUGUUCAGUAGCCACUGAGGCUGAUGGGAGGCGGGACUGUGGAUUCACGUGGCUGACGAUGACUGGUCUUCCUGGCCAUAUUACUUUCUCUUUCUUUUAUCAAGUACAGACAUGGCGCCUGCCUGGAGUGGUGGUAUGAGUGCCCAAUCUCAACGAAACAACCAAGGCCACCUGUUCCCAUUUUUUUUUAUUGCUGUUGUUACAUGUGUAUAUGUGACAUAUGUGCAUGUAUGUUCAUGUGUUUGUGGGUACA